rnacentral:rRNA from 1 species
GUGGGGAAUAUUGGACAAUGGGCGAAAGCCUGAUCCAGCCAUGCCGCGUGUGUGAAGAAGGUCUUCGGAUUGUAAAGCACUUUAAGUUGGGAGGAAGGGCAGUAAGUUAAUACCUUGCUGUUUUGACGUUACCGACAGAAUAAGCACCGGCUAACUUCGUGCCAGCAGCCGCGGUAAUACGAAGGGUGCAAGCGUUAAUCGGAAUUACUGGGCGUAAAGCGCGCGUAGGUGGUUUUGUAAGUUGGAGGUGAAAUCCCCGGGCUCAACCUGGGACGUGCCUCCAAAACUGCAUGACUAGAGUACGGUAGAGGGUAGUGGAAUUUCCUGUGUAGCGGUGAAAUGCGUAGAUAUAGGAAGGAACACCAGUGGCGAAGGCGACUACCUGGACUGAUACUGACACUGAGGUGCGAAAGCGUGGGGAGCAAACAGGAUUAGAUACCCGUGUAGUCC